rnacentral:rRNA from 1 species
GCUAAACGCGAAGAACCUUACCUGGGUUUGACAUGCACAGGACGCACCUAGAGAUAGGUGUUCCCUUGUGGCCUGUGUGCAGGUGGUGCAUGGCUGUCGUCAGCUCGUGUCGUGAGAUGUUGGGUUAAGUCCCGCAACGAGCGCAACCCUUGUCCUAUGUUGCCAGCGGGUGAUGCCGGGGACUCGUAGGAGACUGCCGGGGUCAACUCGGAGGAAGGUGGGGAUGACGUCAAGUCAUCAUGCCCCUUAUGUCCAGGGCUUCACACAUGCUACAAUGGCCGGUACAAAGGGCUGCGAUGCCGUGAGGUGGAGCGAAUCCUUGGUAAAGCCGGUCUCAGUUCGGAUCGGGGUCUGCAACUCGACCCCGUGAAGUCGGAGUCGCUAGUAAUCGCAGAUCAGCAACGCUGCAGUGAAUACGUUCCCGGGUCUUGUACACACCG